UGGGGAAUAUUGGACAAUGGGGGCAACCCUGAUCCAGCAAUGCCGCGUGUGUGAAGAAGGUCUUCGGAUUGUAAAGCACUUUCGACGGGGACGAUGAUGACGGUACCCGUAGAAGAAGCCCCGGCUAACUUCGUGCCAGCAGCCGCGGUAAUACGAAGGGGGCUAGCGUUGCUCGGAAUGACUGGGCGUAAAGGGCGUGUAGGCGGUUUACACAGUCAGAUGUGAAAUCCCCGGGCUUAACCUGGGAGCUGCAUUUGAUACGUGUAGACUAGAGUGUGAGAGAGGGUUGUGGAAUUCCCAGUGUAGAGGUGAAAUUCGUAGAUAUUGGGAAGAACACCGGUGGCGAAGGCGGCAACCUGGCUCAUGACUGACGCUGAGGCGCGAAAGCGUGGGGAGCAAACAGGAUUAGAUACCCUGGUAGUCCACGCUGUAAACGAUGUGUGCUAGAUGUUGGGUAACUUUGUUAUUCAGUGUCGCAGUUAACGCGUUAAAGCACACCG
rnacentral:rRNA from 1 species